UGCCAGCAGCCGCGGUAAUACGUAUGGUGCAAACGUUGUUCGGAAUUACUGGGCAUAAAGGGCGUGUAGGCGGUUCGGUAAGUCCGUAUGUGAAAUCCCUCGGCUUAACUGAGGAACUGCAUCGGAUACUGCCAGACUAGAGUGCAGGAGGGGAGAGCGGAAUUCCUGGUGGAGCGGUGAAAUGCGUAGAUAUCAGGAGGAACGCCGGUGGCGAAAGCGGCUCUCUGGCCUGCAACUGACGCUGAGGCGCGAAAGCUAGGGGAGCGAACAGGAUUAGAUA
rnacentral:rRNA from 1 species